rnacentral:RNase_P_RNA from 1 species
AAGGUUCGACAAGCAAUCGCUUCGGCUUUUAGCCGGAGAGGAAAGUCCGAGCUCCACAGGACAUGAUGCCGGGUAACACCCGGGAGCCGUAAGGCUACAGAAAGUGCAACAGAAAAUAUACCGCCUGUUUGCAGGUAAGGUUGAAAUGGCGGGGUAAGAGCCCACCGGGAAGGCAGUAAUGCGUUCCGCAUGGUAAACCUCAUCAGGAGCAAGGCCAAGAAGCAUGUGGAUUGUCCGUCCUAUACAUGCGGGUAGGCUGCUAGAGACUGACGGAGACGUCAGUACCAGAUAGAUGAUUGCAUAAACAGAACUCGGCUUAUGGAGGACCUUCUUU